AUGCAAAGUGACUGGGGUGGUGAGUAUGAAAAACUAAAUUCUUUCUUUCAAAAGCUUGGCAUAUCACACCAUGUAUCUUGUCCUCAUGCUCACCAACAAAAUAGAUCCGCUGAAAGAAAGCACCGUCACAUAGUUGAUAUGGGGCUUGCCUUGUUAGCAAAUGCUUCCAUGCCGCUUAAAUUUUGGGAUGAAGCAUUCUUAACUGCUACAUAUCUCAUCAACUUGCUUCCAAGUAAAGUUAUCAAAUUUGAAACACCCAUUACACGACUUCUUGGUGUCACACCCAACUAUACAUCUCUUCGUAUUUUUGGUUGUGCCUGUUGGCCCAAUCUUAGGCCUUACAACACACGCAAACUCGCUUUCCGCUCAAAACGGUGUGUCUUUUUAGGCUAUAGCCCCAUGCAUAAAGGGGUCAAGUGCCUUGAUGUUCCUACUGGUCGGGUGUAUAUAUCCAGAGAUGUUGUAUUUGAUGAGUCCGUGUUUCCCUUUGCAUCCCUUCAUCCUAAUGCUGGUGCACUUCUCCGCAAAGAAAUUCUUCUUCUUCCUUCACAUCUUCGGUCUUUUGAUCAUGGGGGCAACAACAAUUGUACUAACCAAUGUGAUGAUAUUCCUGCUGGUACUGGUCUUUCUCUUAUGCCUGUGCAGGUCCCUGGAGAAAACGGUGCUCAAAAUGACCAAGAUCUCGAAAAUAUGGCUGGUUUUGAUCCUAUAUUUCAUGCUGAGGAAGGAGACGAAGCUGGCACAGAUGACGAAGAAGAUCUGGCGGUGCCUGCCACCCCUGCACGCGCGCAGAUCUCGGAUCACGCGACCGCAUCCGCCUCGGAUCAAGCCCCUGAUGGCUCCAAUCCUGGAUCCAGGGCGGGCCACUCCCGUGCUGCCGCGUCAGCUUCAGGCGGGACCAGCAGCGGGGCCGAAUCCCCCUCGCCCCGCGCGCCAGCGUCAGGCGGGACUAGCGGCGGGACCAGAUCCUCCCCGCACCACGUGCGCCUCCAGUCGCGGUCGGGUGGCGGAUCCUCUGCGCCAGUGCCUGCAGAAGGGGCAGCCACACCAGAAGCCACAGGAUCCCCUGCGCAUAUGACGACAAAUCAGUCCACUGCAUCAGCAGAUUCUCCUGGAUCUUCCGUGGCAAGUAUACCAGCGGUGCAGCGAGAGGUUUCUUCACGUGUUAUGACCCGGCUACAGAAAGGUAUACGGAAUCCUAAAAUUAGGAAAGAUGGAACUAUACCAUAUGGAAUGUUGUGUAUUUCAGGAGAACCAACAUCGUUGAAGAAUGCACUUGAUGAUCCUAAAUGGAAAAAGGCAAUGGAUGAGGAGUAUUCUGCGCUCAUGAGGAAUAAGACUUGGCAUCUUGUACCAAAUCAGAGAGGUAAAAAUAUUAUUGAUUGCAAAUGGGUGUAUAGAAUUAAGAAGAAGGCAGAUGGCUCCAUUGACAGAUAUAAGGCACGUCUAGUUGCAAAGGGCUUUAAGCAACGUUAUGGCAUUGACUAUGAGGACACCUUUAGUCCCGUUGUGAAAGCUGCAACUAUCAGACUUGUGUUAGCCAUUGUUGUAUCCAGAGGAUGGAGUUUAAGGCAGCUAGAUGUACAGAAUGCGUUUCUGCACGGUGUUCUGGAAGAGGAAGUGUUUAUGAGACAACCACCUGGGUAUGAGAGUAAGAAAUUGCCACAGUAUGUCUGCAAGCUUGAUAAAGCACUCUAUGGUCUAAAGCAAGCACCCAGAGCAUGGUAUUCCAGAUUGAGCUCACAGUUAAAAUAUCUUGGCUUUGUUGCUUCCAAGGCUGACACAUCCUUGUUUAUUUAUAACAAGGCAGGAGUAGUCAUUUUUGUGCUUAUAUAUGUUGAUGAUAUCAUAGUUGCAAGUUCUUCACAAAAUGCUACUAAUGCUCUUUUGCAUGAUUUGAGCUCAGAGUUUGCCUUGAAGGACCUAGGUGAUUUGCAUUUCUUCUUGGGUAUUGAAGUCAAGAAAACUCAAGAUGGUAUUGUGUUACAUCAGGAAAAAUAUAUUCUUGAGCUUCUGUCUCGCAUGGGGAUGAAAAAUUGCAAGCCAAUGCCUACACCUUUAUCCUCCUCAGAAAGUCUCUCAGCAUAUGAGGGUGAGCCACUUCAAGAGGAGGAGAAUACAAGGUAUAGGAGUACUGUGGGAGCACUACAAUAUUUAACUCUCACACGUCCAGAUAUCUCAUUUGCUGUCAACAAGGUUUGUCAAUAUCUUCAUGCACCUACUUCUGCACAUUGGUCAGCUGUCAAGAGGAUUGUGAGAUAUGUGAAACAUACUAUGGGAAUAGGACUUCAUUUCAAACGGUCUAAUUCUUCUCUUGUGAGUGCAUUCUCUGAUGCUGACUGGGCAGGAUGUAGUGAUGACAGAAGAUCAACUGGAGGUUUUGCAGUGUUCUUUGGAUCUAAUCUUAUCUCCUGGAGUGCUAGAAAGCAAGCUACUGUGUCACGCUCAAGUACAGAAGCUGAAUACAAGUCUUUGGCUAAUGCAACUGCUGAGAUCAUUUGGGUUGAAUCACUUCUUGAGGAAUUGAGAAUCAAGAAGAAUCGUAUCUCAUGCUUAUGGUGUGAUAAUUUGGGAGCAACAUAUCUGUCUGCAAAUCCAGUGUUCCAUGCCAGGACAAAGUACAUAGAAAUUGAUUUUCACUUUGUACGAGAAAGGGUUGCGGCAAGGAAACUUGAGAUUCGAUUUAUUCCUUCUAAGGAUCAAGUGGCUGACGGUUUUACAAAAGCACUACCAGCAAGACCAUUUGAAGAAUUCAAGAGUAAUCUUAACUUAGGUUAG
rnacentral:rRNA from 1 species